AUGCUCCUGCCGUGUUCGUGAUUGUCAUAUAUUCCUUGAACCAUUCAUGCGCAUAGGUCGCGGAAAUUUGUCGAUGGGCGUGUUUCGUCGCUAGUCCGAUGAACCCGAAAUUGCACUAACUGUGACCACCUUGGACCUUUCUAGGUUCGGGAUGCCGGCAAAAACGGCACAGGCGGGACUGAA
rnacentral:other from 1 species